AACAAUAAUAAACAGGACACUUUUGUGCAUUCUUUUUCAUUUAUAAAGCUAUGUCAUGGCUGGGAAAUCCUGAACCUUAGCUACUAGGACUUUCAGAGAUGUUGCUGACCAUAUUUGGCAUUCUGGGGGCGUUUCUAUGUAAAUGAGCAUACAAUCAUCACAAACAGGUCCAACAUACAUUUAGAGGCCCCAGCACCCUACAAUGAAACCAGUUUAAUGGAAUUCAACCACCUGGACUUUUCCUCCUGUGACAUGUCAAAAUGUCUCCUGUGAAAAAUGACGGGUGAACUGCUGACUGAUCGUAACACAUCAACUUUUAGAUUUCUGUGUAGGGAAGCACUUGUAAAUGAUGCAGAGCUCUCUGCCUAGACCUGCUAUUGGGAAUCAUUUCUACACCCAGCCAAGCAUCAACAAAUCAUCAAAAUCCAUAAAAGCAUCCCACAUACAAA